UAUCUAAGGAAGAGCAGACACUCCUUUAAAGAUGCUUUAAUCGUAAAGUAAGGUUGAUCGAAUUGGAGCCAGGCUACAAUAUGAAGUUUGAACUCAGAUCGUCGCAACAAAAAAUAGCAGUCUUCCUGACUUUCUUUAAUGUUAUUAGAAUUAAAGGAAUUAAAAUAAAAAUUAGAAACGAAUAUGCCGUUGCUUUUAUCUUCGUCAA